rnacentral:rRNA from 1 species
GACGGAGGGUGCUAGCGUUGUUCGGAAUUACUGGGCGUAAAGGGCGCGUAGGCGGCCGCUUGCGUCGGAUGUGAAAGCCCGGGGCUCAACCCCGGAACGGCAUCCGAUACGGGGCGGCUGGAGACCGGGAGAGGAGGGUGGAAUAGCCAGUGUAGAGGUGAAAUUCGUAGAUAUUCGCAAGAGCACCAGUGGCGAAGGCGGCUCACUGGCCCGAUACUGACGCUGAGGUGCGAAAGCGUGGGGAGCAAACAGG